AUUGAACGCUGGCGGCAGGCCUAACACAUGCAAGUCGAGCGAGCGGCGGACGGGUGAGUAAUGUCUGGGAAACUGCCUGAUGGAGGGGGAUAACUACUGGAAACGGUAGCUAAUACCGCAUAACAUCAGAUGUGCCCAGAUGGGAUUAGCUAGUAGGUGGGGUAACGGCUCACCUAGGCGACGAUCCCUAGCUGGUCUGAGAGGAGUACCAGCAACACUGGAACUGAGCACAGGUCCAGACUCCUACGGGAGGCAGCAGUGGGGAAUAGUGCACAAUGGGCUCAAGCCUGAUGCAGCCAUGCCGCGUGUAUGAAGAAGGCCUUCGGGUUGUAAAGUACUUUCAGCGGGGAGGCGUUACCCGCAGAAGAAGCACCGGCUAACUCCGUGCCAGCAGCCGCGGUAAUUC
rnacentral:rRNA from 1 species